UGCUUGCGUGUUGGCAUUGGACUUUCACUGUCGUUGACGCUUCUUGUUUCUCACGUCUCACCUACAGUGCCGGGCAAAGCAGCCUUAUGGGACGAUGGGGACAGCCAGAGCGACUUCCCUUGCCCUACAGGAGAACUGGUUGAGUCGCAACCCACGAGGCGGUCACGACACGAGGGCGUGUACGACUGCGAGUCGUACACGCCCUCGUGUACGACUCGCACGUACACUGGUCGUACACGCCCUCGUGUACGACCAGGCACGAAAGGACACACACAGGAGAGAAGCCUUUCCACUGCUCUGUCUGCAAGAGAGCGUUUACUCUAAUCUGUAACUUACGCACUCACAUCAGGACUCACACGGGAAAGAAACCAUUUCGCUGCGAGGUUUGCCAGAAGGCGUUCACCAGACCUUAUGUCCUGAGGAUUCACAAAAGACUCCAUACGGGCGAGAAACCAUACCAGUGUGGCACCUGCGAGAAAGCAUUUUCAGUUAAAUCCAGGUUGUUGAUUCACGAACGAACCCACAGUGGGGAGCAGCCCUACAAGUGCGAAGCCUGCGGGAAAAUGUUUAAACAGAGUAGCAAUUUAAGUACUCACCGGAAAAAAGUUCACAAGUGAGGGAUCUGUGUCAUGCAAUAUCUGAAGGUAUGGAAGUAUAAUUUCAUGUCUCACCGUGUGCUUCACUGCCUGUGUGCUGUCUAUUCAAAUGAAGUUUAGAAAUGGAGCCAUAUUUAUCAGCUUUUAACGUGAGUUGCUAUUAGGCAACAGCUGCAGUACUACCAUGUAUCAUUUUUUGUUUUGAAUGGCCUCGCUUAAUUGAGUUUAAACACUAAACAAAGGGUAGUUUGUACACCUCUUGUCACAUAUACGAUGUGCCAAAACUUCCGACGUCAAAAUGACGACCCCAACUUUUAUGAGAGGCUUGAUGAUGGUGUGAUAUAAGAUAUUAAACAGCUAAAGUAUGCAUCAAAGACUACAGAAAAAAAACAAAUAAAAACACAGGUUUUGCACUGGGGCCAAGAAGAUCCUGAUUACUUUUUUUACAGUCAGUUAAGCUAUUUUAUAAAUUCAGAGUCUCUUAUGUUACCCCUGAAGGCAAAAGCCCAAGCGCCGAUGCAUUAAAGACAGACAUGAUUUACGGGUGUGGCGGUCGGAGGGGUGCCACGUCGGACUACUAAACGUAUGGUCGCUGGUUCGAUGCCAGCCGAGGCAGAAGAGCGUAUAUUCUUUUCAGAGGAAUAUUAAAAUUUGCAGACGUCACGUAAACGUCUUGGUACCUUUCAUGUCCCCGACAUGUUUUCGCUCAAGGACUUUGAAGGUUGACCGAGCGAUAAGACAUAAGGCUUUCGCCUUGAGUGUACAACUCGGCUAUCAAGCCACCCGUGAAAGUUGGUAGCGUCGGUUGAACGUUGGUGCGCUGUACGUCCAAAUGAAGUUUAGGGGUGUCAUAUGUGACAAGGAGUGUACCGGUUACACCCCUUUUUUUGUGUGUAGCUGCUUUUAACUUUGAGAUCAUUGUCGUUUUAUGAUGUAUAGAGCUACUUUAACUGUUCAUUUUGAGCGUAUGAGGAGCAUUGGGUUUUAUUAAGGCACCUUGAUUCCUAUGUAUGAAUUUUUGUGACGACAUUUUGAAAAGUAAUUCCGCCUAGGUAAGUUCUCUGGAUUUCCUUACAAUUUAACCUAGCUUUGACACUUUGCUCCAGGUUGAAUUGUGUUCCUGAAGUUGUAAAAAGAAAUGUGCCAGUUACUGUACUCUGUUCUUUGUGGAUUCAGUGUAUCACAAAUAAACUACUUUCCUAGCUAAAA